GACGAACGCUGGCGGCGUGCUUAACACAUGCAAGUCGAACGGAAAGGCCCUGCUUUUGUGGGGUGCUCGUGUGGCGAACGGGUGAGUAACACGUGAGUAACCUGCCCUUGACUUUGGGAUAACUUCAGGAAACUGGGGCUAAUAUCGGAUAGGAGCUCCUGCUGCAUGGUGUUGGUUGGAGAGUGUCUGCGGUUGUGGAUGUACUCGAGGCUUAUCAGCUUGUUGGGGGGGUAGUGGCUUACCAAGGGUUUGACGGGUAGCCUGCAUGAGAGGGUGACCGGCCACAUUGGGACUGAGAUACGGCCCAGACUCCUACGGGAGGCAGCAGUGGGGAAUCUUGCACAAUAGGCGGAAGCCUGAUGCAGCAACGCCGCGUGCGGGAUGACGGCCUUCGGGUUGUAAACCGCUUUCGCCUGUGACGAAGCGUGAGUGACGGUAAUGGGUAAAGAAGCACCGGCUAACUACGUG
rnacentral:rRNA from 1 species